rnacentral:rRNA from 1 species
GACGAACGCUGGCGGCGUGCUUAACACAUGCAAGUCGAGCGGAAAGGCCCCUUCGGGGGUACUCGAGCGGCGAACGGGUGAGUAACACGUGAGUAAUCUGCCCUCCACUUCGGGAUAGCCACCGGAAACGGUGAUUAAUACCGGAUAUGACGCGCCCUCGCAUGAGGGUGUGUGGAAAGUUUUUUCGGUGGAGGAUGUGCUCGCGGCCUAUCAGCUUGAUGGUGAGGUAAUGGCUCACCAUGGCUUCGACGGGUAGCCGGCCUGGGAGGGUGGCCGGCCACACUGGGACUGGGGCCAGGGCCAGACUCCCACGGGAGGCAGGAGUGGGGAAUAUUGGGCAAUGGGCGGAAGGCUGAUUCAGCAACGCCGCGUGAGGGAUGACGGCCUUCGGGUUGGAAACCUCUUUCAGUACCGACGAAGCGCAAGUGACGGUAGGUACAGAAGAAGCACCGGCCAACUACGUGCCAGCAGCCGCAGUAAAAC